UAGCAAUCGCUGCAAUCCGGGACCGUAUCCGUAGGCGUAUUCGCGUAUCCAAUAUUGGGCCGCAAACCUAAACAGUGAACUGAUUCAUACCUAUGAUGCUACUCGGCUAUCAAAUAUCAAACAUAAUCAUCCCGUCUAUCAGUUCUAUCCUCGGGUAAAAAAUGGGAAAUUAACAAUACUAUGUAUAUUGUUGAGAAUCUUAUAUACCGAGUAUAAGGUCUACGAUUGCUUCAAACAAGUUUAAAUGUUUGAUUUGAUUAGACUAUUGUUUUGACGGCGAACGAUAAAAACGGAUACGAUCGAAACGCAAUCGUCAAGACAAUGAAUUUUAUUGGCUGCCAAAAAUAAACAUCCUAGAAUUCAGCAGAGUCUACGGGGUCUAUUGCUCCUUCCCAUGGACAUCUUAUGCACAGAGAAAGACCUGUAAUGUGCCAAACCUGCGGAGAACCUCUCACAGUCAAGCACCUCCUCGUCUACUGCCGAAACCAUAUAGAUACCAUAGAAAAAGGCUAUAAAAGCCUGAUAACCUCGAAGCCCUUAGCCCAG